rnacentral:rRNA from 1 species
UACGGGGGGGGUAAGCGUUGUUCGGAAUUACUGGGCGUAAAGGGUCUGUAGGUGGCUUGCUAAGUCAGACGUGAAAUCCCUCAGCUUAACUGGGGAACUGCGUCUGAGACUGGCGAGCUUGAGUGCAGGAGAGGAACGCGGAAUUCCUGGUGUAGCGGUGAAAUGCGCAGAUAUCAGGAGGAACACCAAUUGCGAAGGCAGCUCGCUGGGACGUUACUGACGCUGAGACGCGAAAGCGUGGGGAGCAAACAGG